AGAGCAAAUCUCUGUCAACCCACCAGUGACAAUUCUCAGGCCCUCUGGCUCUUGUUUGGCUACACUCUGAGGCAACAGUAGGGACCCUCAAAGAUCAAGAGUCUGAAAAGGUCAGAGAAGCCCUGAUGGGGCCUUUGAAAGUAUAUGACAUCACAGUGGGUACCAGGAGAGGCCAUGCCUGGAAAAAGGAGCAAUAAUAAUAACAGCUAUAUUGAUAGCUGUGCAACAGAUAACUAUUGAAGCAGUCUACAAAUAUGGAACUCUUUUUACCUGACCAACAUCUCUAUGAGACGUCUUUCUUCCCUUCUCUUGAAGCUGACAAUGGAGGGAGAGGACUGGUCUGCCAAGAGAGCCAACCCUAAG
rnacentral:lncRNA from 1 species